rnacentral:lncRNA from 1 species
GCUGUUUAUGCUCUAUAGGAGAAUAUUAUGACAAAUUUGACAAAAUGUGUUAGGACUUUGUAUACAUUUCACCUAGGAACUCAAAAUGUGCUUGCUGCUAAUUUGUCUUAUAUCCUCAUCAGUAUGGUGACUGUGGACCAAAGUGUUUAUGUGGCAUAUUGCCUUAGUUUUUAUGAAACUGCAAUUACAGUGUGAAUCAUAGCUUUGAUCAGAGAAGUGAGAAGGAUGCUAUGUGGUUGUCCCAAACAGCUCACAUUCACCAGGGCUAACUGCUUGGAAGCUCUUUGGCCUGUAGGAUGUAUGCAUUAUCUUCUUCACUUAAUCCUCUCCAUUUUAUAAAUGACAAGAUGGAACUCCUUUAGAGAAAUUAUGUGAGGUGGGCACAUCCCUUAACUGGGGACUGCAAACCGUUUUUAGAUUCUAAGAUUAGAUUUGUAAGCACAUUGAGUUUUGGAAAUUACCGUUUUUAGAUUCUAAGUUUAGAUUUGUAAGCACACUGAGUUUUAUCUCUGUGCCAAUUGCAAAUAAAGCCCCUCAGGAGGAAAGGCAAGGGGCCACAUGCAGACCAAGGAAUACCAACCGAGUGUAUCCUGUUUUGAAUGUGGUGCUGUGUUCCUGACGAGGCCUCUCUGGUAACAUAUGGUGGUGUUGUCAAAUUGUACUAUUUACAGCCAUGGGGCUGGGCUUGUAGGACUCAUGGGGGAAAAAAAAUUAAAAGAACAAAAACAAUAUCCAUUAACCUCUUUGCUCUGAGUCAUUAUCACCAAUCAGUCUGGAGUUUGUUCUCAUUUUGCUUUGUGUUUUGGCCACCAGGUAAAUUCCCCAGUGACACAGAUGGCUUGUUGGAUGGAGCUCACCACUGAGCCUCUGGCCUGUCAGGCGGUUCAGCUGGUUGUCAGGAUAAAAGGACGACAGGGCUGGCUGCCUCUGUCUCCUGUGAGCUUCUCAAGUGACAAAUGCUAGUGCUUCAGAAACAAACAAACAAAAAGAGUAAGAGGAAAAAUGCCUGUGAGCGAGUGGAGGGCAGUUAUGUUCUUCAUCUCACCUGCAUCUGAGAGCUUAGAUGUCACAGGAAUCAUUAGAACGCCUCAUAGGAGAACACAGGAACAGGCUGCUCUGUUUUAUUAUUUUCUUUUCUUUAUUAAAGUAUACUCGAUUUACAGUGUUGUGUUAGUUGGCAGGCUGAUUAGCUCGGUUAGAGUGUGUGCUAAUAAAAUGUUGUGUUAGUUUCAGUGUACUGCAAAGUGAUUCAUAUAUAUAAAUUCUUUUUCAGAUUAUUAUCCAUUAUAGGUUAUUGGAAAAUAUUGAGUAAAUUUCCCUGUGCUAUGUAGUAGGUCUUUGUUGAUUAUCCAUUUUAUAUGUUGUAGUUUUUAUCUGCUAAUUCAAACUCCUAAUUUAUUCCUCCCCUCUUCCACUUUGGUAACCUUAAGUUUGUUUUCUAUGUUUGUGGUCUAUUUCUGUUUUGUAUAUAAGUUCAUUUGUAUCCUGUUUUAGAUUCUACAUGUGUAAUAUUUGUCUUUCUCUGAUUUACUUCACUCAGUAUGAUAAGCUAUAGGUUAUCCUAGUUUCCACAAAUGACAUCAUUUCAUUCUUUUUUAUGGCUAAGUAAUAUUCCAUUGUAUAAAUGUACCACAUCUUCUUUGUCCAUUCAACUGCCUAUAGAAAUUUAGGCUAUUUCCAUGUCAUGGCUAUUGUGAUUAGUGUUGCUGUGAAUGUUGGGGUGCGUGUAUCUUUUCAAAUUAGAGUUUCCUCCUGUUAUAUGCCCAGGAGUGGGAUUGAUGGAUCAUUUGAUAGUUGUUUUUAGUUUUUUAAGGAACCUCCCUCCUGUUCUCCAUAGUGACUGCACUAUUUAUUCAUCAGAAUACAGAAACAUAGACCAUCAUCUCAACACGCAGCUCAGUAGAAAGUCAGGACAGAACUGUACAGGAGGAGCACACAGGGAGAUGUGGACUUAGAAGUAGCAUCUAAGGAAGAUUGCAUGGGUUUAAGGCUCAGGAAAUGGCAGGUGUUCACCCACCAGGCAGAGACAUGGGUCAUGGUCUUAGAGCAAGACCAGCUUCCAUGAAAGUUUGGAGAAAAGUGCAGGGUGAGGUGGUUUGGGACCUCAUUGGCUGAGCACAGUCUGUGGGUUCAUCACAUGGUCCCUGUGCCUGGCUGCUCCUACCCAUGCAGACAGUCCUGGGGACCAUACUGUUCAUUCCUGACCUCAAGCCUGAGCUUGGCUCUUGCCUUGGCCUUGUGUCUUUUCUAUGUAUCCUUCCUGGUCUUGUUGCAGGACACCUCCUGCCUCUUAGUACCAGGGAGAGGAGUCCUUCUUUGUAUCAACCUCCUGCAGUACUCCCAUCAGGAUUAACCACUGAUAUGUCUAUUUCUCUGAGUGAUGCUGAAUGGUGACUGGGUGCCAGAUGUGCUCAGACAUGGGGUCCUGACAAAAAUGAUCCAUAGGAGAAGUUUGUGUUGGACUCCACCCUUAACUCCCCCUUGCUACUUAGAGUCUGUUGUCCUGGAAUGUCCCCCUAAUUCUUCCCCAUGACCCUCAAUAUGUCCAUCUCAGCAGCUUAAGACAUUUAGGUUGACAUGGUUCCUGCAGAUAAUCUUGUAAAGGGCUUCUACUGCCAAUUCUUCAGGAACAGGUCCUUAGCACAAAAUAAUUAGCCAGCAUGUCCAAACUGAUGAAAUGUCAGAAAAUUUUGAAGGGGUUCUCAUAUCAGCUACUCUUUAUGAGUUUCAACAGUGUUCUUAUAAAAAGAAGUGUCUUAAUCACCACAAAGCUCUGAUGGUAGAAAUGUUAAGUGAGGAAGAAAUAAGAGGCUUUUAAAAAGUUCAUAUUCAAGUCAGGGCUCCUGGCUAGUUGGCAGCUCCAUCCACACACAGGGCAGCUUCCCUUUCACAACAGUGUUAAACUCAGAAAGCAAAAGCAAAAACCCAACUGGAACAAUGAUAUGUUUUCCAUAUGAAUGUUGCUGCUUCUUUUAUUGAAAUGCAUGUCAUUGUUCUUGAGGCUGGAAGGCUGAAGAUGAGUGAUGGCAUUUUCCAACUGUGCAGUCAAGCGCCGACCGCAGAACAAUGCGCUUUAAUAAACCUAGUGCAACGUAUCCGGAGGGCUUUGAUCAGCAGGUGCGUCUGGGCAUCACACUACUUCUCUUUCCUUCCUGUUUCCUUCUUUCUGAUGAAUAACCAAAUUAGACUGGAUGGCAGAAAACUUCUUGCAACAGAGUUCGUGUGAACUUCAGUAUCCUGAUUUUACUUUCACCUUCAUCUGAGAAUUUGCCUCCAAAGAAAAAAAAUAAAAUAAAACGAAGGAAUAAAAGGACGUCUGUCUCUUAGAUUGCAAAGCACCUGAUGUUCAGGUUAGUCUCAGCCUCGGAACUGACUUUGUUCCUGAACGCAGUGGGUUAGGACAGUCUGGUAUCUGUUAAAUGCUACUCAGUGUAAAAGCAUUCCUUCAACUCUUACCUCAUUGCUUCUGAAUCUGGGACACACCUUCCAACACCAUCUCCUUUAGUCCUAAGUGGAAAUAGCAGGUACGAAAGUAAGCCUUAUGACCACACACCCUUCACCUCAUUUCCUUUAAGACACAGAACUAUAAUUAGAACCACAAGAGUCACCUGGAUUUUCCACUUUGGAGUGGAGGAAAUCCGUGUCAUUAUUUGUGCGUACUGUACUGUUGAAGACACAAAUGUUUCUCAAUACAAUCUGAUUUUGAAGUAGGGGAGAGAAAAAAUAAUGCAUACAUUAAAACAGCAAUCAGAUAUUAUGUGGGAAUCUUGAAAGGAUAAGAAACUCAGAUGAAAAUACUAGAAUAAUCACUUCACUUCCCUUUCUUCCACUUAUAAUAACUUUUGGUGUCAGGCCAAAAUAUUGUUUCACACCCAGGGCAUCUGUGGGUCAUUUUACCCUACAAAGUCACAACCAUUUACAAAAAAAAAAAAAAAA